GACGAACCGUGCGAACGUUGUUCGGAAUCACUGGGCUUAAAGGGCGCGUAGGCGGCCGGGUUGGUCGUGGGUGAAAUCCCCCGGCUUAACUGGGGAACUGCCUACGAUACUGCCUGGCUCGAGGGAGGAAGGGGCGGUCGGAACUGUCGGUGGAGCGGUGAAAUGCGUUGAUAUCGACAGGAACGCCGGUGGCGAAAGCGGACCGCUGGCCCUCUUCUGACGCUGAGGCGCGAAAGCCAGGGGAGCGAACGGG
rnacentral:rRNA from 1 species